CGAAAGCCUGACGGAGCAACGCCGCGUGAGGGAGGAAGGCUCUUGGGUUGUAAACCUCUUUUACUUGGGAAGAAGAUCUGACGGUACCAAGCGAAUCAGCAUCGGCUAACUCCGUGCCAGCAGCCGCGGUAAUACGGAGGAUGCAAGCGUUAUCCGGAAUUAUUGGGCGUAAAGCGUCCGCAGGUGGUGAUUCAAGUCCGUGGUCAAAGACUGAAGCUUAACUUCAGAUAGGCCAUGGAAACUGAAUGACUAGAGGUCAGUAGGGGUAGCAGGAAUUCCCAGUGUAGCGGUGAAAUGCGUAGAGAUUGGGAAGAACAUCGGUGGCGAAAGCGUGCUACUGGGCUGAAUCUGACACUGAGGGACGAAAGCU
rnacentral:rRNA from 1 species